ACAUGAAGUUAGGUCAGCAAACCCGCUGAAUUUAAGCAUAUAAGUAAGCGGAGGAUAAGAAACUAAAUAGGAUUCCCUCAGUAAUGGCGAAUGAACAGGGAUAAGCUCAGCUUGGAAAUUGGGCCCUCUGGGCUUGAAUUGUAGUCUUUCGAUGGCAUUGCCAGCGGAGGCGCAGAUGUAAGCCUCUUGGAAAAGAGCAUCAAUGAGGGUGAGAGUCCCGUUUGUCAUCUGCAGUCCUCUGUUUACGGUGUGCUUUCUAAGAGUCACGUUCCUUGGGACUGGAGCGCAAAUUGGGUGGUAAAUUUCAUCUAAAGCUAAAUAUUGGUUCGAGACCGAUAGCAAACAAGUACCAUGAGGGAAAGGUGAAAAGGACUUUGAAAAGAGAGUUAAAAGUGCCUGAAAUUGCUGAAAGGGAAGCGAAUGGAACCAGUCUUCUUGGUGAGAUUGUUGUGCGCUAUUGUGAUUGCUUUCUGCUUCAACGCAAGUGUUGCAGUGGGUUUUGAGCAUGACGCGCACUUUGUUUCUCACCUCGUGUGUCAACGUCGGUUCAGAUUUGAGGAAAACUCUAGGGACAUGGGUAAUUGCUCGCGAGUGAUUGAAUGUGCCUGGUAGAACUCAUGUCUAAACUGAUUUCCGCAUGUCUGGUCGCAGUGUUCUCAUUACCUGCGUCUGGGUUCGUGGCUUGUAGCUUCUGUUACUCGUCGCGGGCUCUGGGCCUGGUCGUGGAGCAUCUCCCUGACAUUAGUACGAUGACAAAAUGGUUUCAUUCGACCCGUCUGGAAACACGGACCAAGGAGUCUAACAUAUGUGCAAGUUCACGGGUGUUAAACCUGAUUGCGCAAUGAAAGUGACUGCUGGGAUAUUUGCACCAGCAACCGACCAAUCAAUUGUGAGAGGUUUGAGUAUGAGCAUAUCUGUUAGGACCCGAAAGAUGGUGAACUAUGCGUGAGAAGGGUGAAGUCAGGGGAAACUCUGAUGGAGGCUCGUAGCGAUACUGACGUGCAAAUCGUUCGUCAUACUUGCGUAUAGGGGCGAAAGACUAAUCGAACCAUCUAGUAGCUGGUUCCCUCCGAAGUUUCCCUCAGGAUAGCUGGAGUUGAACAGUUUUAUCAGGUAAAGCGAAUGAUUAGAGGAAUCGGGGACGCUUUGUUCUCGACCUAUUCUCAAACUUUAAAUGGGUAAGAUCCAGUGGUUACUUGGGUGAACUUCUGGGAUAAAUGACAACUCUAAGUGGGCCAUUUUUGGUAAGCAGAACUGGCGAUGAGGGAUGAACCUAACUUUGAGUUAAGGUGCCCAACUGCACGCGCAUCAGAUACCACAAAAGGGUGUGUUGAUUCAUUUAGACAGCAGGACGGUGGCCAUGGAAGUUGGAACCCGCUAAGGACUGUGUAACAACUCACCUGCCGAAUGAAUUAGCCCCGAAAAUUUUGAUGGCUCUCCAGCGUGCGACCGAUACUCAAACAUUGCAACGAAAGUCUGAUUGCAAUGAGUAGGAGGGCGUAGGCGUCUUGUCGAAGCUUUGAGCGUGAGCCUGAGUAGAAAGGCGUCUAGUGCAGAUCUUGGUGGUAGUAGCAAUUAUUCAAAUGAGAACUUUGAAGGCCGAAGUGGAGAAGGUUUCCAUGAGAACAGCAAUUGGUCAUGGGUGACUCGGUCCUAAGAUAUUGGUAAACACCUUGCAAUUGAGCUUUGGCUCGCGAUCGAAGAAGGGAAAAUGAGGUUAAUAUUCCUCAAGCUGGCUAUGGAUGUCACGGUAACGUUUGUGAGCUCGGUGACACCAGCGCGUGCCUCUGGAAGAGUUAUCUUUUUCUUUGCUAACAGUCCAGCGACCCUGAAAUCGGAUUAUCCGGAGAUGAGGGUUGUAAGGCUGGAAUAGUGUAUGUUUGAUUUUCUUUAUACAAAUAGAAGCGCUCGCGAUGGUCCUUGAAAACCCGAGUGAGGUAAUUUAUUCCAUACCAGGCCGUACCAAUAACCGCAUCAGGUCUCCAAGGUUAGCAGCCUCUGGUCGAUUAGAAUAAUGUAGAUAAGGGAAGUCGGCAAAUUAGAUCUGUAACUUCGGGAUAAGGAUUGGCUCUGAGGAUAAUUUUCGUGUGGGGUGGUUCCGGCGAUGACGGCCGAGCCAGUUGUGGUCUGCUUGCUUCGGCCUGCGGAUCGCUUCUCAGCGAAGCCUGAUUCUGUUCGGACCGCCACUCUGCACAUGUUUAUGGCAACAUAAUCACAAAUCAACUCUGAACUGGAGCAGACUAGGGGAAUCCGACUGUUUAAUUAAAACAAAGUGUUGUGAUGGCCUCAGCAGGUGUUGACACAACUUGAUUUCUGCCCAGUGCUCUGAAUGUCAAACUGGAGAUAAUAUGAGAAGCACAAAUUCAAGCAAGCGCGGGUAAACGGCGGGAGUAACUAUGACUCUCUUAAGGUAGCCAAAUGCCUCGUCAUCUAAUUAGUGACGCGCAUGAAUGGAUUAACGAGAUUCCCACUGUCCCUAUCUACUAUCUAGCGAAGCCACAGCCAAGGGAACGGGCUUGG
rnacentral:rRNA from 1 species